rnacentral:rRNA from 1 species
UAAGGAAUAUUGCUCAAUGGGAGAAAUCCUGAAGCAGCAACGCCGCGUGGAGGAUGAAGGGUUUUAACUUGUAAACUCCUGUAAAGAAGGAAAAAAUUCCCAUUAGAUGGGAAAUGAUGGUACUUCUGGAGUAAGCCCCGGCUAACUACGUGCCAGCAGCCGCGGUAGUACGUAGGGGGCAAGCGUUGUCCGGAUUUACCGGGUGUAAAGGGUGCUCAGGCGGAUUUGUAAGUCAGAGGUGAAAUCUCACAGCUUAACUGUGAAACUGCCUUUGAUACUGCAAGCCUAGAGUAUGGAAGAGAGUGAUGGAAUAUCUGGUGUAGCAGUGAAAUGCGUAGAUAUCAGAUAGAACACCAAUGGCGAAGGCAGUCACUUGGUCCAUAACUGACGCUAAAGCACGAAAGCGUGGGUAGCAAAACAGGAUUAGAUACCCUGGUAGUCCACGCCCUAAACGAUGAAUACUAGAUGUUGGCUUCGCAUGAAGUCAGUAUCUGAGCUAACGCAUUAAGUAUUCCACCUGGAAGUACGAUCGCAAGGUUGAAACUCAAAGGAAUUGAC